rnacentral:rRNA from 1 species
GCGUUGUUCGGAUUCAUUGGGCGUAAAGGGUGCGUAGGUGGCGUGGUAAGUCGGGUGUGAAAUUUCGGAGCUUAACUCCGAAACUGCAUUCGAUACUGCCGUGCUUGAGGACUGGAGAGGAGACUGGAAUUUACGGUGUAGCAGUGAAAGGCGUAGAGUUCGUAAGGAAGACCAGUGGCGAAGACGGGUCUCUGGACAGUUCCUGGCACUGAGGCACGAAGGCCAG